rnacentral:rRNA from 1 species
UGGAGUCGAUUAGCCAUGCGAGUCCAGAGCUUUCGGAGCUCGGCGUACCGCUCAGUAACACGUGGGUAACCUCACCUAUGCAGGGGAAUAACCUCGGGAAACUGAGUAUAAUGCCCCAUAGUCCACUACGCCUGGAACGGUGAGUGGAUCAAAGCUCAGGCGGCAUAGGAUGGGCCUGCGGCGUAUCAGGUUGUAGGGGGUGUAAAGUACCCUCUAGCCAUCUACGCGUACGGGUGUUGGGAGACAUAGCCCGGAGAUGGAUUCUGAGACACGAAUCCAGACCCUACGGGGUGCAGCAGGCGCGAAAACUUGACAAUGCGAGCAAUCGUGAUCAGGGAACUCCAAGUGGCUGGGGUAAGACCCAGUCUUUUCAUAACUCUUCAAAGGUUGUAGAAUAAGGGGUGGGUAAGGACGGUGCCAGCCGCCGCGGUAAUACCGGCGCCUCAAGUGGUAGUCGCUUUUAUUGGGCCUAAAACGUCCGUAGCCGGUUUGGUACAUUCGUGGGUAAAUCAACUCGCUCAACGAGUUGAAUUCUGCGAGGACGGCCAGACUUGGGACCGGGAGAGGUGUGGGGUACUCUCAGGGUAGGGGUAAAAUCCUGUCAUCCUGAGAGGACCACCUGUUGCGAAGGCGCCACACUAGAACGGAUCCGACGG